AUCCGCAUUUUACUUUCUCAUUUUUUUCUUGAUUUUUGUAACUAUUCUGAAAGUAAUCAAAAUGCAAUUUGAAACAUUCGUAUUUUUUGUGUACAACAGCACUUUCAUAAUAGUUUUAAUUGGUGCAGCCAUGGCACGAACCCAGUAUCACGAAUCGCGGGAUCGCUCAAAUAUUUUCGAUACUGCUGCAAACCUGGUUAAUGGGAUUUUGGGGUAAACGCGCUUAAUUGAGAAUAAAGCAAUACAGGGUUCUAACUGUACAAAAACCUGUAGGAUUAAUGACGUCAAACCAUUAUCCUUCAAUGAUCUUGUUUUCAUAGUUCAAUACUUGAAAAGGAGAAAUAAAGGAAUAAAAAAUGAAAUUCUAAAACUCA